rnacentral:tRNA from 1 species
AGCUAUUUAGCUUAAAGUAAAGUUUUUAUUUUGAAAAUAAGAGAUUAAGGAAACUUAUUAGCUA